rnacentral:rRNA from 1 species
GGGGAAUAUUGCACAAUGGGGGGAACCCUGAUGCAGCGACGCCGCGUGAAGGAAGAAGGCCUUCGGGUUGUAAACUUCUUUGACCAGGGACGAAUAAAUGACGGUACCUGGAGAACAAGCCACGGCUAACUACGUGCCAGCAGCCGCGGUAAUACGUAGGUGGCGAGCGUUGUCCGGAAUUACUGGGUGUAAAGGGCGUGUAGGCGGGUUCUUAAGUCAGAUGUGAAAUCCCGGGGCUCAACUCCGGAGCUGCAUCUGAAACUGGGGAUCUUGAGUGCUGGAGGGGAAAGUGGAAUUCCUAGUGUAGCGGUGAAAUGCGUAGAGAUUAGGAGGAACACCAGUGGCGAAGGCGGCUUUCUGGACAGCAACUGACGCUGAGGCGCGAAAGCGUGGGGAGCAAAC